GAUGAACGCUGGCGGCGUGCCUAAUACAUGCAAGUCGAGCGAACAGACGAGGAGCUUGCUCCUCUGACGUUAGCGGCGGACGGGUGAGUAACACGUGGAUAACCUACCUAUAAGACUGGGAUAACUUCGGGAAACCGGAGCUAAUACCGGAUAAUAUAUUGAACCGCAUGGUUCAAUAGUGAAAGACGGUUUUGCUGUCACUUAUAGAUGGAUCCGCGCCGCAUUAGCUAGUUGGUAAGGUAACGGCUUACCAAGGCAACGAUGCGUAGCCGACCUGAGAGGGUGAUCGGCCACACUGGAACUGAGACACGGUCCAGACUCCUACGGGAGGCAGCAGUAGGGAAUCUUCCGCAAUGGGCGAAAGCCUGACGGAGUAACGCCGCGUGAGUGAUGAAGGUCUUCGGAUCGUAAAACUCUGUUAUUAGGGAAGAACAAAUGUGUAAGUAACUAUGCACGUCUUGACGGUACCUAAUCAGAAAGCCACGGCUAACUACGU
rnacentral:rRNA from 1 species